UACUUAUUCUAGUAUUUGUUCUUCUGGACUCUCAUCUUAACAUCCAUCAUUGUUGAGAUUACAAGUCUUUCUUGGUCGUCCUUGUGUUUUUGCUUAUAUCUUGGCGCAUAUUUCUUUCCUUGUAUCCAACAAGUUUUGACAUAAUCAACUUUAUUCCUUCAAGGCUAUAUCUUAGAGACUUCUCUUGUUCCUUCUUGUACAAGGCCUAUUGGUUGGUUCUUAGGGUCUCAGGUCCUUCUUUCCUUGCUCUUACUAGGUUUCUUAAUCCUU